rnacentral:rRNA from 1 species
AUGCAUGUCUAAGUACGGCUCUAGUACGGUGAAACUGCGAAUGGCUCAUUAAAUCAGUUUUGGUUCAUUUGAUCGUAAACAUUUACAUGGAUAACUGUUGUAAUUCAAGAGCUAAUACAUGCUAAAAGUGAGAGUCUUUGAUUCUCAUGCUUUUAUCAGAUCAAAACCUUUCGUCUUCGGGCGUUAUCGUUGUGGCGAGUCUGGAUAAUUUUAGCUGAUCGCAUGGUCUCGAACCGGCGAUGGAUCAUUCAAGUGUCUGACCUAUCAACUUUCGAUGGUAGCGUAUUGGUCUACCAUGGUUGUAACGGGUAACGGAGAAUUAGGGUUUGGUUCCGGAGAGGGAGCCUGAGAAACGGCUACCACA